rnacentral:rRNA from 1 species
UACGUAGGUGGCAAGCGUUGUCCGGAUUUACUGGGCGUAAAGAGCGCGCAGGCGGUUGGGAUAAGUCGAAUGUGAAAGCCCCCGGCUCAACUGGGGGAGGGUCAUUCGAUACUGUCCGACUCGAAGGCAGGAGAGGGAAGCGGAAUUCCCGGUGUAGUGGUGAAAUGCGUAGAGAUCCGGAGGAACACCGAAGGCGAAGGCAGUGUCCUGGCUGGUGACUGACGCUGAGGUGCGAAAGCUAGGGGAGCGAACGGG